AUGAGUUGCAUAAAAGAAGUUCCGACACUCAGAGGUGACAACCACACUGAGUGGAGGAAGAAAGUUGAACUGACAUUUGUUUGUGCUGAUCUGGACUGGGUUCUGGAUGAACCACAGCCGGUCAGACCUACAGAGCCAGUAAGAGAGACUACUGAUGAUGAUGCUGCAUGGGCUAAAAAGAGGGGGGAUUAUGCUCCUUUGGAGAUGUCCUAA
rnacentral:rRNA from 1 species